AUGCUCAUAAGAAAAUUUUGGUGGGCAAGCAAGAAUGGUCAGCGCAAACCUCACUGGGUGUCUUGGAAGAAGAUGACGCAACCAAAAAGCAUGGGCGGAUUGGGUUUCAAAGAUUUUGAGUUGCUCAAUUUAACCAUGGCUAGACAAGCAUGGCGGUUACUUCAAAGCCCAGGGUCGAUGAGUGCUCGCAUAUUGAGAAGUGUCUACCAUCCAGAUUCAUCAAUUCUUGAUGCUAGUUUGGGAUCCCACCCGAGCCAAAUAUGGAGAGCUAUAAUAGAAGGUCGAGAUAACCUCAAACAAGGUAUAAUAAAGAGAAUUGGCAAUGGAGAGAACACAAGAAUACAGGCAGAAAAUUGGUUACCG
rnacentral:rRNA from 1 species